UGAAAUUACAUGUCUUAUCUCAAGUCUCAACGACAAAGAGAAACUAAAUAAAUGGAUUUAGUAUGUAGAUAAAAUAUAAUGAAAACGGAGGCUGUUUAAGAUUUCCUUCAAAUCCCACAAGGAAAUUUGUUUCAUCUACAAACAAAGCCCAAAGGUAGAAGCUAUGUUAUUUAAUCGAUUUGAAGUUCAUUCCAUUUGUAUUUGAUAGCAGGAGACUGCAUCAACUUAUUACAAUUUCUCAGGUACCAAAUUCAGUUUUCAACUGUUUUCUCAAUUUUAUGCCGUAUUAUUUUUCAUCUUCCAUUUCUUUAUUAAUUUGUUAUAUUAGGAACCUAGUUUUUUAUUAUUUAGUGAAUGUUUAAAGAAAACCUGAUUGGAUGGGGGGGAUGCAUUUCAUUAUACCAAAAAACGAAAAACCUGAUUGCAGUUUCAUAUAAACAAUUGAGCCAUCCCUUAUUAUGUUGAGAUUAAUAUCUAUAUUACAAUUUCUGUAUACUUUUAUCGUUCAUGUGUUCAUUACUUUUAAAUGGAAGUGUACUGAAAGUGUAAAAAACUUGUACACUAUUAGGGUAGAUAUUAAACCUAUCUUAAUGAUAGGUUACAGAAAAACCAAAAGUGAAGUUCAUGAUGAGCAAAAAAUAGAAUGUUGUCAAACGUGCCAAAUAAAUGGAAGACACAAAAUCAUUGAAUAGAAUGUUGUCAACUACGAGUUGAGUGCUUAAUUCCUACUCGCAAAAAUCAAGACCACAGAAUAGCAUCAUGCCAUCAUUUACAAAAUUGAAUGCCCUCUAGGACAUCACUAAGUCUAGCACCAAUUCCAGAUUUGUCUUCAAAAAACGUUACAUCUCAUACCAUACGAAUAUGUAUUUAAUUAUAUGUCGGACUAAAUAGUUCUGCUUUAGAGAUGAGAAAUUAACUGUUAAGAGUAGAAAGCAUGCCCCCUGACGCAGUUGGAAUCACCACCUCCCACCCAGGCCCAUUAAGGGGAAACGAACUGACCGGAGCUUUGAAGUCUUUGUCAUCCUUUGAAUUGGGGACAACAAGAUCACUGCGAUCCAACACCUUAAUCAGGUCUUCAUCCCUAAUACCUGUUUGUAUCAUCUUGUCUUCAGCUGUUUCUUCAUCCCGAAGCAAUGCCAAGACAUCCUCUUCCUAGAAUCAGACAAAGCACAAACUCCAGAUUAAAAAUAUUGUAAUAUUCUUUUCAAGAGCCAAACUUAGGUAAAUUUUCAGUUCAUAUUUACAAUCAGUUGCAGAUGGUCUAUUCAUGGCAAGCAGAUACUAUUGGAAUACCGAAGCAGGUAGACAACAAUUCCAUUACUAUUAUAGAUACACGCAAUGGGAUGACAGUAAAGACAAAACUACUGGAAAGCACAUGCUGUUGUACAAACCUCCAAUUCGUCGGCACUGACAGGCUUUGCACGUUCUUGAUGAAACUGUCCUUUCCCAAUCACCACAUGCUCAAGCUUCAACUUGUUGAAAGCUCUUUUCAACAUGCGAACCUAUAAACAGAAUGUCAGAUCCAUCUAACAUAAAAGCCAUCAGUUGAUCAGCACAUAUUCAACACCCCAAAAUAAAUUACCAUAAAGUACCUCUAUAGAUUGCGCAGUUGAGAGCCUGUAAACAUGAACAGGCUUUGUCUGACCUAUUCUAUGACAUCUAUCCAUGGCCUGUAAAUCCAUCUGGGGGUUCUAGAGUACAAAGAAUUUCUUAAGCAAUAUAUACUUGAGAUAAGUCAAACACAAUAAAGUAAAUAGAUAAAAUGACAAAAGUACCCAGUCACUGUCAUAAAGAAUGCAAGUGUCAGCAGCAGUGAGGUUAAUUCCCAAUCCACCAGCCCUAGUAGAGAGAAGAAAGAUCCUGUAUUUGCUGUUUGGAUCAUCGAAGUUCUCAAUCUGUUCAUGGCAAAAGAGUUACCAAUCAUCAAAUCUUCAGUUCAGCCAUCAUUAAUGGUUAAGAUCAACGGUUUAACACAGAACAGCUACGAUCUCUGUAGAAGUGUAUUACAGAUUUGUAGUGCGUGUAAAAAUGGACAGAUGAAAGGUGAUAUUUUAAAGUACAGCAUAAAACUUCUUCAUCAGUGGUUGCUUAAAAUUCACGAUACAAACCAAGCAAUAAGUGGAUUCAAAAAACCUAAAAAUCAAACAUUAAAUAAAAAUAAUAGAAAAAAAAUUAAAUUGUGAUAAAAAAUUUCAUGGAUUGGCAGUUUGACACAAACCUGCCGUUUCCUGUCAUCCAGUUUCACACUACCAUCAAUCCUGCAAACUUCAAAGCCCUUCUCGCUAAAAUAAUAGUCCAUUAAAUCUAACACCUUAGUCCACUGACUGAAAAUCAGAACCUGAUAGUAAUUAGAAAAUGCAAAUUAGGAACAAAAAAAAGAAAGUGGAAACUGUAAAGACAAACACAGCACUGGAUAGAAUACUUUGUGCUUCCGUGCAAACAACUGUUCCAACAACCGCUUGAGCAAAUGGAAUUUUCCGCAUUGGUCAACUAUCUCAUUUAUAGGAGGAUACAAAUCUAUCAAGAAAGAAUGAUAUAGAUUAGUUGAGAAUCAUAGAACACCAAACCAGUAAAACAAUUCAACUGCAAGGCACUUACAAGAACCAUCAAAGGCUGACUCUAAAAGGUCAGGAUGAUUGCAGACCUUCCUAAGUUGAAGACACAAAUUUUUAAUUGAUUUGGUGGCACGCCCUGCAAUAAAGCAGUGACUGCAAGUGUCAGACAAGACUUCGUAGAAGACAAAUAAACCAAAAGAUUGACUGUAUUCCAAGACAGCAACACAUAACUGAAGGUAUAUGAAUUGCAAGAAACCCUUUUUUCUGUUUUCAUAGGAAAAACAGAAAACGAAUCUUACCAGUUGAUGAUUUUUCUUCUAAAUACUUCUCCAUUGUCUUAUUGAUUAAAUGAUCCUGCAAUUUCUUCUGAUGCUCAGUCAUGGUUGCAUAUAAAAUAAUUUCCUUCUUCCGUGGCAACAUCAGCUCAACAUCAGUCUUCAUCCUGCGCAGAAGAAAGGGUCGAAGUAUGGCAUGGAGCUUUGCUACUACCUACAUGAGAUAAGUACAUUUAGUCUUCUGGUUCAUAUAAGUCAGGGACAGGUGGAAUGGAUAACAAAAUAGGCAACUGUAGAAUGCAUACUUGGGCUCUUCUUUUCUCUUCAAGUUCUUCCUUGGUUGCUCCAUUAUUGCAUUUUCCUGACAGAUUAAACCUGCAAAAACAAGUAAAACUAAGCAAUCAAGGUACAGUGUUUACUUUUUUUUGGGUACAGUGUUUACUUUGGUAUCAAACAAACCAAAACCAAUGUCUUGAAAUGGCAUACAUACAACAUUCGUCAUCCCAUCACACAGAAAAAGCAUAAGAGCAACACAGCAAAGUCAAAAUUAAUAAAAGGGAUACCCAAUUAUUUGAAUUAGUGAGUAGAUCUAAACCAUUAGAUUUCCCUAGAAUUGGUGGUGGCUAAGAUGUGGAGUAAGUUUUUAAAAUUUACUCUUGGAGUAAGUAGAUCCCCCUCUCUUAAUAAAAUGGAUCAAAAUAAAAACAAAGCUAGCUUAUGUAGAAUUCAUGGAAAGGAGGCUAUGGGCCUACGGCAAAGGGAAAGUGCAAACAAACCCAACUAGCUCAAAUGCAAAGGAUAUUAAAGAUGAAGCAUACACCAUGAUACUCUUCAAUAUGCAAAAUGAUACUAAUACAGCUCAAAAAAAUAUAAAGCUCUAAUUUGUUCUCUACACCACUCAUCCAAGCAACCAUGACACAGAAAAACUCAUUUAAAAAGAAAAAACAACAUAUUUUUGGGGUUAUCUGUUUCAACAAUCUCAUUACAGAGUUAACACAUCAGUAGAGUGAUCAAUAGCCAAAAGAAACUAACCAUGACUCAAAUUCUUCAAGAGAUGAGAAAAUAUCAGGUAAAAGGAAGUUCAACAAUGACCAUAACUCCGCCAAGUUAUUCUGAAGAGGAGUCCCAGAUAGAAGAAGCUUAUUUUCUACAUUUAAGCAUUUCAAUGCCUUCACUAAUUUGCAUUUCGAGUUUUUGAGCCUGUGUCCCUUCAAGGAAAAAAAAUACAUCAAGUUAGAACAACGGAAGCAUGCAAACUCUUUUGAUUAUCUAAGUAUUUAUGAGUUAAGACAGGCAACAAAACGGAAAUAAACAUAAACAUUCAAAUAAGAAACAUUAUUUACCUCAUCAACAACAAGAUAUUUCCAAUUGUAUGACAUGAAACAUUUUCUAGCAUCACUUAAAGCAACCUCAUAAGAAGUGAUAACAAUGGGAAAUUUUGGGCCAACUUUUCUAGGCAUAAGUUUCCUUCGGAUUUCAUCUCUCUGUUUCUUGUCCCCGUGAUAGAUAACAGCAGGGAGUGAUGGAGCAAACCUAAUUACAUGUGUUAAAAAAAGUUGAAAAAUCAAAAGCAAGCCAUGUAAUUGAUAUAACUAACAAGAGCUUCUAAUGUUCACCAGUUAGAAAGCGAAAUUUAUAUACUAUUCUACUUUUUUCUUGUUUUUUAUUUGUUAGAAUCUCUUCUUAGCAUUUAGAAAUAUUUCGCAAAUCAAAACCAAGGAAAAAUAGAAUGGUGCAUAAACUCCAGUUUAUAACAGGUGAUAACCACAUUGCAAAAAAAUUGAACAUCAAACAUAAUGAUCUACCUAGAAAUCUCAUUCACCCAAUUUGAGAGGGUUGAUAAAGGAGCAAUUAUCAUGUAUGGCCCAUCCAGACCUUUCCCUUUUAAAUGUGCAAGAAAUCCAAUUGUUUGGAUUGUCUUCCCCAGACCCAUUUGAUCUGCAAGAAUCCCAUUCAAUCCAUUUUGCCACAAGGAAAUCAACCACUUGACACCCUUCAACUGAUAAGAUUUCAAUUUUCCACCGGUCAGUAAAGGCAUAAGCUCCUUCUGCUCUUUCGCAAUUCUGUCCUCCUCACUCAUGUUCAUAUCUUCAGUCUUCACACUUUCUUUAGAUCUUGUGAGCAUGGCAGCAACUGCCCUUUUGGCCUUCCCCUAAGGUAAAUUCAAAUAUGACGGCAUAUUAUUGACUAAAUAAUCUCAAACUAUAUGCAAGUAUUCUAAAUCAAUAAUAGAACAUAAAAAGAAAAAAAUGACCAUGUCUAAACCUUACUUUGAAAGAAAAAUGAUAGGGGGGAAAACCCUGUAACUGUAGUAAUGCACUUAAUAACAAUAGUUACACAAGAUUUGACCAACUUGUUUUUUUAGUCACAAAAUGAUGACAACGUGAUCCGUGAUGUCUCAAGCUGUACAUCUUCCACUAGUAGUCCUAAAAAAUAGGCUGGUCUAAGCUAUCACUGUUUUUUUACUUCAUAUAUAAAUAAUCAGAUACACACUGACCUCGUAAAAAAAAGUAUGCAUCAAAUUUAUGCCAGGGAACAUUUUACUCACAGUAUUGCAUUGUGAAGCUGCUUUUCUUUUACGGCCUUUCUUCUUUGUAGCUGGCUCACUCUCUUGCUCAUCUCCAUUCUCUUUUUCACCCCCAUUCUAGCAACAAAAAAUCAAACAAUAAGAACUCGGAACAAAAAUAAUAAAAUGACACACGUAAAUAGUUAAUGACAAUACAAGUGUGAUGUCGUCCAUUUUCUCCAGCAGAAACUCAGAGUAGAGUUUAGUCUGUGUUAAAAGCUCAUCCAAUUUAUUAAACUGAGUCUCAUUGAGGUCGGGUGCUUCCUCACACUGUUCCUCUUCUUCCUUUGCCCGUUCUUUGAUCAAUUUCUCUUCCUCCUCAGCAAUUGAUUUUGGUAAAAGCAAGGAUCCAUCAUCUAUAAUAUCUAAAAGCACCUCUUCUUCAGCCUUAAUCUCAACCUCCGCACCACAAGCGUCCUUUAAAUAUAGGAUAACCACAAAAUAAAUACGAUAUAAACACGAAUAACAAAAGCUUCAUUAUAAAUUUUAAGACCAAACGAAUUCAGAUAUUUCUUCACUUCGUUAAAAUUAAGUGUGCAUUUACGACUUUAUUUUGCAAUAUUACAUUAUGUGUGAGUUUGUGACAAAUGCUGAAAAAUACAACUAUUUGAACAAGCAUGAACUUUAAUAAUUUUUCAUUUUGGAUCGGCGAAAACCGUAAGCAUGAGCAAAUGCUUUACUAAAACUUUUACCCGCCAAACGAGUCACAUUUCUUUAAAAUCAACUUUAAUCAUGUACGAGUGUGAAGUUUAUUGAAAUAAACGGCUAUUCGAAACGGUAAAUAACUGUAGGUUUUUUGAACAAUGGAAAGUGAAAACAUGAACUGAGAAAUGAAAACAUAAAAACGAACCUCGUCUCCGAGAACCGAAGUCGGUGAAUCAACGGGCUCUUCGUUCUUCAUUGCAUCCAUUUCAAUCUCAAACCCUAAAACCAGUUACAACAAAAACCACAAUGAACAAAAGUUAUAGAACUGAAAUGAAACAAAUAAAUAAAUAAACAUUAGUGGUACCAAAUCUGGCAGAGGGAGGGGUAGAACGGGAAAGAGAAAAUUUGGAAUUUGAAGCGAUGAGAUAUUUCAAAACAAGCGUCGAUGUGAGAGAGUAAGUGGUGGGUGAAUGGAGCAAAAGCUAAUUAAAAUAGGAGUUUAGAAAAAAAAAAUCCUGGUUUUCAUUACGUGGGCAUUGGUUUGGGCGGGAAAAUUCAUUUAAAUAUUACCCCUGGAUUGUUAAGUUAUUUACAAAUAAAACUAUAUGCUAGGGUAAGGUCAUUUUUUGACAGUGUUAAUUCUGUAGUGCUGUGGGCUCCAAGAUUAUGUGUGAUAUGACGCGUGCUUAUUGGCCUCAUUUUGGUCUGCUAGGUUUCCAUUACCUUGAACACCUCAACUUUUUCCAAUAAAGUUGUAAGCAUUUUGAGUUUCAAAAUAUAAGACAAUAUAAUAAGACAUUUUGAAUCCUCCCACCUAGGUUUUGCAUACAAUACAUGCCAACUCAUGUUCUAAAAGUGUUUUUGCAUCAUUCAUUAGGGAAAUAAGAACAAAUGUAGUAUUUCUCAUUCCUAAUUAAUGUUGUUCUUAAUGGAAUAAGAAUAUUAUUAUUCUGUUAUCUACUGUGUUAUCUUAUUUCUUCAUUUUAGUUCUUAAAUAAGAACAGUUCUUAGUCAAGGAAAGUAAGAAAAAUGUAAAUGUUGUGUGAAAAAGGUAAAUGUUGUGACAUCCAAAUAAGAAUAAGAAUGAUGUUUGUCAUUGUGAGAAAAAAGUAGAUGUUGUUCUUAUUUUAUGAGAAGUUGUAAUAAAUUAUAAAAUAAUGUAUGAGACCAAAAUAAAAAUGAAAAUUUUGUUUGGGGUUGUGGCUGGUCUAACUUAUUGCUAUUAUCAUUUUUGUCUUUAUUCCUUUGAAAAAUUUAGGUGGAAUAAUAAAUAAAAAUUAGGUGGACUUUUUUAAUGAUCAAGUGAGAUUUUGACCGUAACAAAGUCCUUAAGUGUAUUGUCAAUUUCUUGAGCAUAAGUAGUUACAUGCAAAUUUUAUCAUUUUCAAAUAUAAAAUAAUUAUUUGUAUCUUAAAUUAGGCUUUAUACGCAAUUUUUGCCUAACACACCAAAACCUCUACACAUGUAAUGUGAAAAACAAACUCAAUACCAACAAAUCCCAAAAAGAUUAGUUUUUUACCUAAAUAAGUGAGAAAUAUCAUUAGUAAUAUAAAAAAACAAAUUCAAUAUAUGCAUUUCCAUGAUGAUAAAAGUAAUAGUUAUAUCCAUGAUUCCAUUUUGUAUAAACAUGCCAUAGUACACAAUAACCAUAUACAAAAUAUAAAGUAGUUUACAAAUGAAGCAACGUAUCCAUUGAUUGGCAUCUUGUUAACUUGCACUUCAAACACAGCAGGGAAGAAAAGCUUGAAGCUAAAUUCUCUGCCAUAUGAGAUCUCACUCCCCAUACCAAUGAAAAUCAGACAAAACCAGCAAUUUGAGAAUGGCUACUGUCAUUAGUUCAGCCUCCUUGGGGUUUCUUGAAUUCGACUCAUUUCGGCGCUAGAGCCACUGCUAGUGCCUGCCUCGCCCGAAUACACCAUAUGUCGCAUCUUUUGCAUAUCAUGAUUGUAUUGCAUUGUAUCAUAUGGCAUAUCUGAGCUAGAUGAAGAGGUUGUUUGAACAUUUGUAAUCCCUGUCUUCAUCAUCCCCUCCUUCAAGUCGUCUAGUGAGACAUCUCCUUCUAACGCUCUCACGAUCUGUACAUGAGUCAUCAAUCAUAGUUUAAGAAAAUACAAAUAGGCAUCAUUAUUUUCAAAAUGUACAUGUAACAGCUAAUAUUUCAUUCUAUACUACAAAUAAUCUUAAUAUUUAGCAUUGAGUCAGUUGUUAAAAUAAUUAUUUUUUAUCUUAACAUGUAUACAUACCUGGCUCAUUUUUAGGCGCUUUCUGGCAGAGUGGCGAAUGCUGCCAGCAGCACAAGCAGCCAUCCUUGACAUUUCAUGAGGA
rnacentral:lncRNA from 1 species